UACGAAGGGGGCUAGCGUUGUUCGGAUUUACUGGGCGUAAAGCGCAUGUAGGCGGAUCGUUAAGUCGGGGGUGAAAUCCUGGAGCUCAACUCCAGAACUGCCUUCGAUACUGGCGAUCUCGAGUCCGGAAGAGGUGAGUGGAACUCCUAGUGUAGAGGUGGAAUUCGUAGAUAUUAGGAAGAACACCAGUGGCGAAGGCGACUCACUGGUCCGGUACUGACGCUGAGGUGCGAAAGCGUGGGGAGCAAACAGG
rnacentral:rRNA from 1 species